CCUACGGGCGGCAGCAGUGGGGGAUAUUGGGCAAUGGGCGCAAGCCUGACCCAGCAAUGCCGCGUGAAGGAAGAAGGCUUUCGGGUUGUAAACUUCUUUAACAGGGGAAGAGCAGAAGACGGUACCCUGAAAACAAGCCACGGCUAACUCCGUGCCAGCAGCCGCGGUAAUACGUAGGUGGCAAGCGUUGUCCGGAUUUACUGGGUGUAAAGGGCGUGUAGCCGGGAAGGCAAGUCAGAUGUGAAAUCUGGAGGCUCAACCUCCAAAUUGCAUUUGAAACUGUUUUUCUUGAGUACUGGAGAGGCAGACGGAAUGCCUUGUGUAGCGGUGAAAUGCGUAGAUAUAAGGAGGAACACCAGUGGCGAAGGCGGUCUGCUGGACAGCAACUGACGGUGAGGCGCGAAAGCGUGGGGAGCAAACAGGAUUAGAUACCCCUGUAGUC
rnacentral:rRNA from 1 species